GUAGGUGGCAAGCGUUGUCCGGAAUUAUUGGGCGUAAAGCGCGCGCAGGCGGUCCUUUAAGUCUGAUGUGAAAGCCCACGGCUCAACCGUGGAGGGUCAUUGGAAACUGGGGGACUUGAGUACAGAAGAGGAAAGCGGAAUUCCAAGUGUAGCGGUGAAAUGCGUAGAGAUUUGGAGGAACACCAGUGGCGAAGGCGGCUUUCUGGUCUGUAACUGACGCUGAGGCGCGAAAGCGUGGGGAGCAAACAGGGAUUAGAUACCCUGGUAGCCCACGCCGUAAACGAUGAGUGCUAAGUGUUAGGGGGUUUCCCGCCCCUUAGUGCUGCAGCUAACGCAUUAAGCACUCCGCCUGGGGAUACGGCCGCAAGGCUG
rnacentral:rRNA from 1 species